rnacentral:rRNA from 2 species
AACUGCAUUUCCUAGUACGGCGAGUGAGAGGAAGAGCUCAAAGUUGGAACCUGUUUGGCCUAGCUAAACCGGAUUGUAGACUGUAGAAGUGUUUUCCAGGCAAGCCGAGUAAAUAAGUCCUUUGGAACAGGGCAUCAUAGAGGGUGAGAAUCCCGUCUUUGGCUUGAGCAUUUGCCUUUUGUGAUACGCUUUCAAAGAGUCAGGUUGUUUGGGAAUGCAGCCUAAAUUGGGUGGUAAAUCUCACCUAAAGCUAAAUAUUGGCGAGAAACCGAUAGCGAACAAGUACCGUGAGGGAAAGAUGAAAAGAACUUUGAAAAGAGAGUUAAACAGUAUGUGAAAUUGUUAAAAGGGAACCGUUUGGAGCCAGACUGGCUUGUCUGUAAUCAAUCUAGGCUUCGGCCUGGAUGCACUUGCAGGCUAUGCCUGCCAACGACAAUUUGACUUGAGGGAAAAAACUAGGGGAAAUGUGGCCCACUUGUGGGUGUUAUAGUCCCUUAGAAAAUACCUUGGGUUGGAUUGAGGAACGCAGCGAAUGCUUAUUGGCGAGUUUUCCAGGAAGGUUUUCUGAGGUACUACGGUAUCAAGGUUGAUCUUUUUGGUUAUACUUCUAUUCGCUUAGGUUGUUGGCUUAAUGACUCUAAAUGACCCGUCUUGAA